UUUAUAUAAAAUUAUAUUUAUUAUAUAUUUGAUUACAUUUUAGGGUAUACAAAUAUACAAAUUUUUUCUAUAAAACAUUUAAUCUGGACUGAGUGUCAACAGUAGCAGUAAAAUUCCAGAAGCAGCUGCAAAGUUUAUUAAAACAAUAACAUAUAACAUUUUUCCUACCAUUUCUUUUGUGUUUCUCAACCCCAGAAAACCACACCUGCCACUCAUGUGGAAUAACAUCUUAUUUUUCAGACAGAAGAUACUGUGAACUUGGGCUAAAUUUAAGCAAAAGAGAUAAUUCUCAAACAGGAUUUUGGUAUUAUCUUACCGAAGCAGUUCAUCCUGGACUUCAAUCAAACGCUGCCUUUUCUUUUCCAUAUCGGAAAUCAUCUAGGGGAGCUGACAGGAACUGUCAGGAACUUACACAUGGACCAAGAAGCCCACAGCCCUGGAGGAAACAAGCUCAAAGGUGG